rnacentral:rRNA from 1 species
GGAGUUUGGGCCGUGUCUCAGUCCCAAUGUGGCCGUUCACCCUCUCAGGCCGGCUACUGAUCGUUGACUUGGUGGGCCGUUACCUCACCAACUAUCUAAUCAGACGCGGGUCCAUCGUAUGCCACCGGAGUUUUUACCCCUGUCUCAUGCGAGACUGUGGUCUUAUGCGGUAUUAGCAGUCAUUUCUAACUGUUAUCCCCCUGCAUACGGCAGGUUACCCACGCGUUACUCACCCGUCCGCCACUAAAACUUAAAUCUACUUGCGUUUCAAUAAGUUUCCGUUCGACUUGCAUGUGUUAAGCACGCCGCCAGCGUUCAUC